UCCUACGGGAGGCAGCAGUAGGGAAUCUUGCGCAAUGGGCGAAAGCCUGACGCAGCAAUGCCGCGUGCGGGACGAAGGCCCUAGGGUCGUAAACCGCUUUCAGUAGGGACGAAAAUGACGGUACCUGCAGAAGAAGCUCCGGCCAACUACGUGCCAGCAGCCGCGGUGAUACGUAGGGAGCAAGCGUUGUCCGGAAUUACUGGGCGUAAAGGGCUCGUAGGUGGUUGAGUAAGUCAGAUGUGAAAUCUCAGGGCCCAACCCUGAGCCUGCAUUUGAUACUGCUCUGACUAGAGUCCGGUAGGGGAGUGCGGAACUCCUGGUGUAGCGGUGAAAUGCGCAGAUAUCAGGAAGAACACCGACAGCGAAGGCAGCACUCUGGGCCGGUACUGACACUGAGGAGCGAAAGCAUGGGUAGCAAACAGGAUUAGAUACCCUGGUAGUCCAUGCCGUAAACGUUGGGCACUAGGUGUGGGGAGAACUCAACUCUCUCCGCGCCGUAGCUAACGCAUUAAGUGCCCCGCCUGGGGAGUACGGCCGCAAGGCUAAAACUCAAAGGAAUUGACGG
rnacentral:rRNA from 1 species